rnacentral:ncRNA from 2 species
CUUCACGAGUGCCGUCGCCAAGCCCCGACUGGACGGCCGCCAACCCCACGCUCGCGGGUGGCUCGGGUGACGAAGUGGCUGGCACCACCCGGUGUCGGCACGAGCGCCCC